rnacentral:tRNA from 1 species
GCUGGUGUGGCUCAGAGGUAGAGCAGCGCACUCGUAAUGCGCAGGUCGUGGGUUCGAGUCCCACCACCAGCUCCA